UACGUAGGGUGCGAGCGUUGCCCGGAUUUAUUGGGCGUAAAGGGCGCGUAGGCGGCCACGCACGUCCGUUGUGAAAUCGCCCGGCUCAACUGGGCGGGGUCGGCGGAUACGGCGUGGCUGGAGCAAGCUAGGGGGCAAUGGAAUUCCUGGUGUAGCGGUGAAAUGCGCAGAUAUCAGGAGGAACACCGGUGGCGAAGGCGGGUCUCUGGGCCGAUACUGACGCUGAGGAGCGAAAGCGUGGGGAGCGAACAGG
rnacentral:rRNA from 1 species